CCCAUCUGACUGGGUUUCCCCAGCCACUCUGGGCAGCUUCCAACAAAGACCAAAAAUACACUAAAAUCUCACACAUUAAAAACUUCCCUGAACAGGGUUACAGGUAUGUAACCCGAGGUACCACUGUAAUUGUUUAUCUCUUUGACAUCUGAUGAGUGGGCGUUCCACGGGGCGGGUGCCACUACCGAGAAGGCCCUCUGCCUGGUUCCCUGUAGAGUUCUGUCAAUCUCAGGUCCUGCUUUCGGGCUUCCGAGUGGCAUUUGUUGGCCACUGUGUGUAGCAGGAUGCUGGACUCAGUGGGCCACUGGCCUGAUUCUGCAGGGAUUGUCUGAGGUGCUUCUGCAAGGCCACAGGUCAGCCCUGCUCAGCUGCUAGUGGCAUUCAUCCACAAACCACAACAUUGCAGGUGUGUGUGAAGGGGCCCUGGCAGCUUACCCCACAUGACGGAUCGGGAAAAGUGCCAGCACACACACUGACUGCAUUGCUCAUUCUCAGGACCUGUGCAACUCACAGUUCUCUUCUCCAGAGACGCGCAGAGAUCUUUGAGCAUCUGUAAAAGUCGUGCGUAGAAGCAUUUGAAACAAACAUGCAUUUCUGAACUGGAUCGAGAAGCUAGAAACCACAAGGGUUUGUGCUUUCUUUCUUAUUUUAUAGAAAUGAUAAAGUAUCAGAGGAGCGAGUGAGUCACGCUUCCUUUCUCUGAGUGCGUUCUUCCCCUUGUGCGAUCUGCAGCAAGCCACUGAGGUGUUGAGAAGUUGGGGUCAGGGUUUUCCAAGACGGGGAGUACUCUCCGCUUCCGAAUGAAGAAUCCAGCAAGCGUGGGCCCAGGCAAAAGGGCAAGCAGAUCGGGUUGGGGGGCGAAACCUUAACUUUCUGACCUUCCUGUUGACCUUGUAUGGAAAGGUGAAAACAAAUGAGCAUCAGAGGCGAGAAUUGGGGGGCCCAAAAGAGGCAGGCUCCCCCUCUAGCACAAUAAACAAGCACAGAGAAUUGCAGUUGCACCCUUUAUUUUGCAGGCUGGAAGGGGUUUGCUGUUCCUUGUUUGACGGCACUCCUGGGAAAUGUUUUUAAAUUGUUUGUUUGUUUUAUAUACCGCCCUUCAUCAAAAGAUCUCAGGGUGGUUCCCAAGAUAAAAACACAAAUAGUUGAAGCAAAAAACAACAAAACAGUAUACACCCCCAUAAACACAUUUAAAAGGCUGUGGAGUAUUACUUAGGGGGGGCGUCAUUUUGCUCACUGGCCGCCCUUUGGGAGGGAUGGAGGGUUCCGAUGAUGGAGCCCACGGGGUCUUUCACAGAUGAAGACCCUCAUGCACACAAGGGGAGAACGAGGUCAUACCCACUGGUCACGCACUCCACUGCCUCUGUGCCCACUGCCUGUGCCCUCACCCCACUGGCCAGCUAAGCUCAGCGUGUACAGCUGUUGGGAUGUGUCCAAGGGAAUGGGGGCAUCAGGCAGGCCCCCAGCUGGCUCCAGCCCACCGGCCAACAGCUGGGCAAACUCUGGUCUCCCUUGGAAGAGCAUCAAAACAUCGGCACACAGCUUCAGAAGCCUUCAGAAACUUGAGCACGCCUUAAGCAGUGAAUCUCACGCAACAGAAGCGGCGGACAGAGGCAUAUGUAAAGCGUAUUUACAAGCAUUUUAUUCAGCAUCAGGUCAAAGGAAAAACAUGUCUGCUCCCCUUCGUGUCCAAGCAGCAGGAAGCACAAAGCAAAAGCAAUUCACAAACAGAAGUUCCCAGCAAGCUGUGCUGGAAUGUAAACAGACAUGUGACAUAUAACAGCUCCACACAUCUGUUUUGGUGGAACGGAACAUCAGUAUCCUAACAACAGCUUGCUCCUUCCCCAUUUGCACUGAAUGCAUAUGGUGGCCGUGGGGGUCUGGCCAGCAGCAGUCCCUCCCUCUGUUGCUGGGAGACAUGACCAGAGUGUGCAGUCUGUCUGUCUGUCUGUCUCUCUCUCUUAUGUGUUCACUAAGCACUUUAUGGGAUUUCUGCGCCGACUGCUCACUUUGAGACUUUGCAAGCUCAGUCGGUACAGCAUGAGACUCUUAAUCUCAAGGCUGUGGGUUCGAGCCCUGCCCUGGGCAAAAGAUUCCUGCAUUGCAGGGCAGGGGCUUGAGACUCGAUGACCCCUGUGGUCCCUUCCAGCUCUACAGUUCUAUGAUCCUGUGCUUAUCCCUUGCUCCAUUUGAGAAUUAUAACUGGUUGGGCACCUUACGAAAUGCACUCUUGAGCAUUGGCUCUGUGCCAGAAGGUAGGCAGUUAGUUUGUAGAGAGUAUAGGAUUCUAGAGUUGGAAGGGAGAUCCUGUGGAUCAUCUGGUCCAACCCCUUGCAAUGUAGGAAUAUGCAGCUGUCCCAAACGGGGAUCAAACCUGCAACUGUAGUGUUAUCAGCACCGUGCGCUAACCAACUGAGCUAUCCAGCUGAGUCCAGUCCAUCCAACCCUCUGCCUUUUGCAAACUUUUCUCGACACAAACUCCUUGCAAAGUUGUUCACUUAUUCAAUUGCAUUGCCUUCACUUCCUGUGUCAUCGUCUACAAUUGUAUUCCAGAGUCAAGGUUAUGUAAUUAGAAGACAGAAGAGGCCAGAAUAGAAGAACAGGAUUGCUUCUUUGCUUCUUAUGUCAGAGGUUUUCAACCUUUUAAAGUCCACAGCUUUUCUUUCUGUGGCACCCCUGUGGGGCUCAGGAGCCAAGUUGUGUCACCCGUUGCCUGAAGAGAUGACAGCCUCACCCUUUUUUGAACACCCUCUCUUGGGAAGUGUCCCCUCAGCCUCCUCUCCUCUCCUCUUGGGAGUCCUCCAGGCAGCUGCUGCUGCCGUCUCUGGUCUCUGAGCUGCCCCCCUCUGUCCCUAAAAGGGGUGCCUUCCGGAAGCACCAUUCGCCUGGGGAGCUUGUAGUUGGGGCUGCUGCAACAAACAGCUGUGCAAGCCUUUGGGAGGCAGAGAUGUGAGAGGGCAUAAGAGGAAGGCGGGAAGGAAAGUGUUACCAGCGGCACCCCGACCAUCCUUCAAGGCAGCCCAGGGUGCCACGACACAUUGGUUGAAAGCCACUGUCUUAGGCUGUUGGCUCUUAGGCUGCUCUUCUGUAUGCUUUUUCGGGUUUUAGCUGGGACCUGCCCCAGCAGCCGUGAAAGUUGCACGGCAAUUCAUCUGACAAAAACAUGACUCAGUUCGGUACUCGGCUUGGGCGUUACACCAGCCUGCAUAAAAUGAAAGUAUUAUUCUGCCCUCACACCUUUGCAUAAUUCAUCUAACUUAACUGGGCUGGGCUAGCGGUUGCACAAGUAAAUUUUUUAUCAUUUCCGCAAGAAGCGCAGGACAAAAACACUCUGCACCUUUCAAACCGCGAGCUCCUGCUGGUUUCCAUUUGCUGAUUCUGACUGUGGGUGGGAUGUGUGUGUGAGAGAGAGAGAGAGGGGGGGGAACUUAAUACAAAUGGAAGCCGAGUUUAGAAUUUCCUCCAGUCAUGCGACACUGCCUUACGCAGAGUGAGAGCCUUGAUCCUUCUAGCCCAGAAUUCGUCAACCUGGUGCCCUCCAGAUGCGUUGGACUUCAGCUUCUACCAGCUGGGAGUUGUGGUCCAAAACAGCCGAUUGACCUCCAGGUGGACUACAACUCCCAUCACCCCUGACCGUCGUCAAUUCAGACUGGGGCUGAUGGGAGUUGGAGUGCAACAGUAUCUAGAGGACCACAGGUGGUUUGCCCCGAUUCCAGGAGGACUGCCUCCCCAAGUGCCCCCAAAAUGAGAUUGCUGGCUGCUGACCUUCCAUGUGCUUAUCUGUCUCGAUCUUGAUCUCUCUACAUACAUGCUGGUACAGUCAUACCUCAUGUUGCGUCCGCUUCAGGUUGCGGACAGCCGAAACCCGGAAGUACCGGAACGGGUUACUUCUGGGUUUUGGCAGUCGCGCAUGAGCAGAAGCAUUAAAUCGUGUUUUGCACAUUUGCAGAAGCGCCGAAUCGCAACCUGUGUGUGCGCAAAUGCGGGUUGCGAAUGUGCAUCAUUCAUGGAUCACUUUCGCAACCGAAGCAUCCACUGUAUUUGUAAAUAAUAAUUUUUCAAAUGACUUAUGGAUUUGGCCACUGUUGCAGGGGCCAAGCUCCGUUUAUGUUUGUGGUGUCCAGUUAAAAACUGCUAUUUAAAAUGUGACUUUAGCUACGUGUCACUGAUGUGAAUUUUGCAUUAGUUCAUGCGUUUCGACAAAACAAAUAGAAAAUGCGACCAAAUUUUUUUGGGUGGGGGGGAAAUGGGGGACAUCUUGAGACUAGAUAUUCUGUUGUGGCACCUGUAGCCCAGGUUUCAGGAGCUGUCUGGCAAAUAUCUCACCUGUCUGAAUUUCUGUACAUUUCGGCUUCGGCCUUCAUGGUCCGGCAGAGGAUAUUUAUCCUUGCGAGACUCUCUCUCUCUCGUGAACAAGCCGCUCAGUGCUUCAGCGCUUCAGUUACCCAUGCUAAGCUCUCCAAACACGGAAGGUUUUCCGGGACACUCCCUUGUCGACCUUCGAAGAAAUUGAGCGACAGGCACGUUGCGCCUUUGCUGAAUCAAGGCUGCUGACUGGGAGAUAAGCAUCUCUCAUUAACCAAAGGCGGAAAUUAAUAAAUGGCUGCAAACCUCUGGGUGAGAGCUAUAUUUACACUGUCAGCGCAGCAGGUUUAGAAACUACUUCACAACUCUGAUGUGUGCAAGGGGAAAAGCAACCAGACACCGACAGAGUGCAGGCACAAACUGUAGCCCUGAAGACUCAAAUUCUGUGGCUGGGGUUUUUAUGUCCGUUUAAGCAUGGGUGCCUAAACAUUCGCGAGCUGCAUAAGCAGCUCAGGGUACAAGAAUUGGAGUUCUGCUGAAUUUUGGUGCGCUGACUCAUACAGUGCAUCUAUUUCUGUGUAUGCUUAACGGUUAUUUAGCUUCAGGUAGAUCUGACGCAGUCGAGAUAAAUAAAAAUAAAAUAAAAAAUUGUCCAGUAGCACCUUAGAGACCAACUAAGUCUAUUCUGGGUAUAAGCUUUUGUGUGCAUGCACACUUCUUCAGAUACACUGAAGUGUGGGAGGGUGGGGUGAGGUUUUUUCUCAGAAGGAUAGUAGGAGAUGGGUGAUUGACUCAAUGGGUAUGGUAAACCUGUUGAUGACUGUAAACAGGUUAACAAGUUAUUUAGCUGCGGGAGGCAGUGGAAGACGGGAGUGCCUGGCGUGCUCUGGUCCAUGGGGUCACAAAGAGUCGGACACGACUAAAUGACUUAACAACAACAACAAAAACAACAUAGAAUUGUAAGCUGGAAGGGAUCCCAAGCGUCUUCUAAGUCCAACCCCCUGCAAUGCAAGAAUCUCAACUAGAUCAUAAAUAACAGAUGGCCAUCCAGUCUCUGCUUAAAAACCACCAAGGAAGGAGAGUUCACCACCUCUCAUUGGAGCCUGUUGUACUGUUUAACACAGGGUUUCCCAAACUUGAAUCUCCAGCUGUUUGUGGACUACAGUUCCCAUCAUCUCUGACCGCUGGUCUUGUUAGCUAAGGAUGAUGGGAAUUAUAGUCCAAAAACAGCUGGAGACCCAAAUUUGAGAGACUCUGGUUUCACAGAUAUUUUAAACGUGCAUAAACAAAUGGUGGUUGAUACGGUUUCAGAUAUGGAACUUGACUUUUCAGAGUCAUAAAGAACCAUCCUAAUUACCAGCAAAGAAAAUCCUGUUGUUUACAGUGCAUAGAGUGUAAACCAAAAUAUGACAGACCAUAAAUUUGGCAUCCCAAACAUGACGUCCUCCAUGUUUUGGACCUCAACCUUCAUGAUCCUCAUCAUUGGCCAGGCUAAUGGGAACUGAAGUCCAACAAAACCUGGAGUUCCCCAUCCCAGCUAUAGAGAACAUAGCACUUUUCAAAUCGUCCUCAUUGCAAGGGGAGGCAGGAUUAGGGGCAGUAAAUCCAUGUGGUUUUAUCACCAACACCAUCAUUUGUUUACUUAAUUGAAUUUUUUUUUGCCUGCCCUUUACAAUACGAACCUAGGGUAAGUAAUUGAAAUUUAGAGGCGCCAUAUUGAAAACAGCUUAAAAUUAUUUGCACACGUUGUCUUGGGGAAUCGUACAAAAGGUGUACAAUGCACAGAGAUUGUGGAAAUAAGCAUAGGGAAUGUAAAAGCCAUAGUGAAUCAUCUUCUAUUUAUACUAUUUAUCUUCUAUUUUCUACCCAAAGCAGCUCACAACAUUUCGAAGAAUAGUCAUUCAAUUUAAUCAAACGUCAGCCUUAUACAGAUGUUACGCUUGCAAUUUGAGUAAGGUUCGUGGGUAGGUUGGGGCAGAGUUUGUGGCCAUGUGUCCUGCUGUCGCCCACCCCCCAGAACACAUGUUCAGUGUACAUUUAUAUAGGAAGUUGCCUUGAGUUAUGGUAAAUUAUGUUGGUUAUGGGUAGAGCAACAAAAUUAUGCUGGAGCUCCACUCCCUGAAAUUUUGCUUGUACCUCCUUCUGCUUUCCCCCCUCAGCUGUUCACUGGGCAUUUAAUUUAUUUCCAGUCCCUUGAGGACCAGAAACCUGUUCUUUUUAAAAUAAAAAUCAAAAAUCGUCUUUCCCUGGGUGUCAAAUUUCUGAACCUGACACAGAUUUCUGUAAUUUCUGUGGCAAACAGCGCCGACACAAAAAAUAUUACUUCACCCCCCUCAAUGUGUGUCUCUCUGUGUGUGUCUGUGUGGUAGUUUUAGACACAUCGAUUCCUCAACAUGCAUGGCUUCCUCUGGGGAGAGAAAUAAUGGAUGCAGCAGUCUUUCAGGGGAGGAAAACGCAACGACUGCAUAGAAAUCUACCUCGUAUGCCUUCAGCCAGUUAAGGUUAUUGUGGGGGUGGUUCUGUGCUUUUGAUUUAGCUUUCAAGAAAUGGUUCAGUAAACUCUCAGUGAAAGCUUUUUUUAAAAAAAAAAUAAGGGCAAACAGAGUAGUAGUACAGGAAAAUCCAGCCGAUACGAUUGCUAUGUAGUUUUUGGUGGGGUUUUUUAUUUAUUUAAAAAAAGCAUAUCUCCUCCCCCGGACUUUCAGAAGUGUAGUGGGUUACCUUUUGAUCUUGCUGUUCCUAGGGUGGAGGUGAAGAUUGAGGUGGAAAUGUGAGCAAUGCUCUUCUGUGAGAAUUUAAGAGGGGGAGGCCAGCAUCGUGUGAACUCGCUCCUCUGGGGAACUCCUUGGGGAUGCCCUCAUCUCACAGAUAACACCUGAGGCGAGGGUUUUGUUUUUUUUCAGAGGUCAUGCUUUUAAAAACCCACACGUGCCCAAACCCACCCACGGUUUAUUGGAAGUUGCAGAAGACCAGUGAACUGAAAGGUUUCACCUUCCUGGGGGUGUGAGCUUGAAAAAUAUUAUAUUAAUAAGGGGAUUCACCCCCUCC